rnacentral:rRNA from 1 species
AGAGUUUGAUCCUGGCUCAGAACGAACGCUGGCGGCGUGGAUUAGGCAUGCAAGUCGAGCGCGAAAGUCUUCUUCGGAAGGCCGGUAGAGCGGCGAACUGGUGAGUAUAAGAUGGGUAACGUGCCCGGAUGUGGGGGAUAGCCUCGGGAAACUGAGGGUAAUACCGCAUGUGACCCGUGUUUGCAUGAACGCGGGAAAAAGGUGCUUCACUUCGGUGGGGUGUCGCUUCCGGAUCGGCCCAUCCCCCAUUAGCUUGUUGGUGAGGUAACGGCUCACCAAGGCAACGAUGGGUAGCUGGCUUGAGAGGGUGGUCAGCCACACUGGGACUGAGAUACGGCCCAGACUCCUACGGGGGGCAGCAGUCUAGAGGCAUCGACUAAGGCGCGAAAGCGUGCUCGUGCGACGCCGCGUGUGGGAUGAAGGCCCUUGGGUUGUAAACCACUGUCAGGAGGGAAUAAGGCCCGCAAGCUAACACUCGCGGGAUUGAAGGUACCUCCAGAGGAAGCACCGGCUAACUCCGUGCCAGCAGCCGCGGUAAUACGGAGGGUGCGAGCGUUGUUCGGAAUCAUUGGGCGUAAAGGGCGCGUAGGCGGGCUGAUAAGUCUUUCGGUGAAAGUCCCACCGCUCAACGGGGGAAUGUCCGGAGAUACUGUCAGUCUAGAGAGCGGUAGAGGUGAGUGGAAUUCCUGGUGUAACGGUGGAAUGUUUAGAUAUCAGGAAGAACACCGGUGGCGAAGGCGACUCACUGGGCCGCAUCUGACGCUGAGGCGCGAAAGCUAGGGGAGCGAACAGGAUUAGAUACCCUGGUAGUCCUAGCCGUAAACGGUGAACACUAGGUGUGGGGGGUAUCGACCCCCCCCGUGCCGUAGCAAACGCAUUAAGUGUUCCGCCUGGGAAGUACGACCGCAAGGUUGAAACUCAAAGGAAUUGACGGGGCCCCGCACAAGCGGUGGAGCAUGUGGUUUAAUUCGAUGCAGCGCGAGGAACCUUACCCGGGCUUAAACGUGGGGGAAAAGCCGGCGAAAGCCGGUGUGCCUUCGGGCGUCCCCGCGAGGUGCUGCAUGGCUGUCGUCAGCUCGUGUCGUGAGAUGUUGGGUUAAGUCCCGCAACGAGCGCAACCCUCGUUCCUAGUUACCAGCACGUAAUGGUGGGGACUCUAGGAAGACUGCCUGCGCAAGCAGGAGGAAGGUGAGGAUGACGUCAAGUCCUCAUGGCCCUUACGUUCGGGGCUACACGCGUGCUACAAUGGCCGGUACAAAGAGCCGCGAGACCGUGAGGUGGAGCUAAUCUCAAAAAGCCGGCCCCAGUUCGGAUUGGAGUCUGCAAUUCGACUCCAUGAAGGCGGAAUCGCUAGUAAUCCCGUAUCAGCUACGACGGGGUGAAUGCGUUCCCGGGGCUUGUACACACCGCCCGUCACACCACGGAAGUCGGCUUCUCCGGAAGUCGGUGUACCAACCCUUUACGGGGAGGAAGCUGCCGAUGGAGAGGCUGGUAACUGGGGUGAAGUCGUAACAAGGUAGCCGUAUCGGAAGGUGCGGCUGGAUCACCUCCUU